UGCCUUGUCAUUUGAAUGGUGACGUGCAUGAACGGUUUAAUGAGGUGGUCGCUGUCCCGAACCAGACCCUUCUGAACUCACUUGCCGGUGAACAUGCCGGCGACUCCUAGUGGGAAGCGAAGACCUUGUGGACCUUUACUGCAACUUGUUGUUGUGAUGUCCAGUGAGAUGCAUAGAAUAAGUGGGAGCGUCGAUGGUUAGCUUAGGCGAAGACGGAGCGACCUUGUAAUACUACUCACCUUUCGUGGAGUUGCUUACUUGCUUCGGCAAGGACACCAGCAGGCGGGCAGUUUGGCUGGGGCGGCACCCUCCAGAAAAGAUAUCUGGAGGGCCCAAAGAUAAGCUCAUUCAGGUUGGAAAUCUGAAGUUGAGUGCAGAGGCAAAAGCUUAUCUGACUGUAUCUUGCACAGCAAGGGAUGCAGAGAUGAAAGUCUGGCUCAGCGACCCCACGUGGCUUUUUAAUAGGGCCCGUGUGUGACAGAAAAGGUACUCCAAGGAUAAUUGGCUGGUCGCGCCCGAUAGUCCAUAUUGACGGCGCGGUUUGGUGCGUCGCUGUCGGCUCUUCCUAUCCUGGUACUGCACAAGGUACCAAGGGUGUCGGAGUUCACGCAUUAAAAGGAAUCGUUAGCUGGGUUAAGAACGUCAAAUACAUUAACGAUUUCGCACUAAACACAACAGCAAAUAUAAAAUUAAGAAAAAUCACGGCGUUGCAUCGCGGUAACGCGAUGAAAAACAAAAUCAGCUCAUAUCGGUGAAACCUUCUUACCAAUAACUGUGGGUAAGGUGGCAAUACCGAGGGAAGAUGAUAAAGUUUAAAUAGUAAUAUCUGAAGAAAUAAACAGGAUAUAUGAAAGGACAGAUGUAAUAAAGAUAUCAAGUAUGUAUGGAGAUCUACUAGCAGUUGAUAGAGAAUUUAUUGAACAUAAAAUUCUAGAUUUAGUUGCUGCAAAAAGUACUUUAAUUAUCUUGGGCAGAUAUAGUAAUGAAGUCCCUCUUGAAAUUCGAAAAGAAUUAAGAGAUUUUUCACAUUUAGAAAGUGAAUGUAAGAAAAUAACGACUUCCGAAGAUAAAUCAUCACCGUAGAGACUUAGAGUCCUUCAAUCGAAGGCGCAUAGCAAAUUUACCCAAGCAGUUAUGUGAAAAAUUCUAGAACGUUCCGUUACAAAAGGAAUGUUAACACGCUGAUCUCCUUUUUAGUUAAUGAAAAGGAUGAUGGUAUAGUCCACGCUAUAUUGAAAAAUAUAGAUAAGUACGUGAGACAGUUUGUAUGAUAUCUACUAGACGUGUUGUUGUUUGAGUGGAACGACUCCUGAGUACGAGAGGAACGGGAGUCGGUUGCCUCUGGUGUACCGGUUGUUACGAGCAGGCCGGGUAGCUACGCAAUAGACGGAUAAGUACUGAAAGCAUCUAAGUACGAAGCCGACCGCAAAACGAAACAACAAAGGCCGCCAUAGAAGAUGGCGUUGAUAGAGUUGGUGUGUAAGAUUCAAGGCAACGAGAAUUUAAGCACUCAACCACUAAUAGCUUCACUUGAUUAUUAC
rnacentral:rRNA from 1 species